rnacentral:tRNA from 1 species
UCCCUGGAAGUUUAGUGGUUAAGACUCUGCGCUUCCAAUGCAGGGACCGCAUGUUUGAUCCAUAGUCGGGGAA